AUACGUAGGGAGCGAGCGUUAUCCGGAUUCAUUGGGUUUAAAGGGUGCGCAGGCGGCCGUGCAAGUCAGCGGUGAAAGCCCGGGGCUCAACCCCGGAAGUGCCGUUGAUACUGCAUGGCUGGAAUGCGGUCGAGGCGGGCGGGACGUGGCGGGGAGCGGUGAAAUGCGUAGAGUAGCCACAGAACGCCGAUAGCGGAGGCAGCUCGCCAGGCCUGCAUGGACGCUCGGGCACGAAAGCGUGGGGAUCGAACAGGAUUAGAUACCCUGGUAGUCCACGCCGUAAACGAUGGGCGCUCGUCGUCGGCGGCAGACAGUCGGCGGCCAAGCGAAAGCGAUAAGCGCCCCACCUGGGGAGUACGGUCGCAAGGCUGAAACUCAAAUGAAUUGACGGGG
rnacentral:rRNA from 1 species